UCUCUCAACAGCCUAGGUUGGGUUCAAUGAACCUGCAUUGCAUUGUUACGAAGCCCCCAAACUCAAAUCUCUCUCUCUCUCUCUCUCUCUUCCUCAUUUUCAUUUUCCCAAUCGGCACCCUUCUCCCAUAUCGCCUCCAUCGCCGGGCUGGGCCCUCUUGCCCUUCCUUCUCCCUCGGCGUUGAAGAGUGAAUCAAAAUUUCAUACGGGUAUCUUUUUGGGAUGCAAAUGAAAUCAUCUAACGUAAUUACUCCGGAGGAUGUUCUGGAGAGUUUGACGAAUGACGGAACCAUCGAUGCCUUGAGACUGAAGAUUAUCAACCAGCUCAAAGGUAAUAAUUGCAGAUUAAUUUUUCAUGACGAACCAGUUUCUCUUGCAUCAUAUAUACUGGAUGGCAUCGAUUUAUUAUCUUCUUGUUGUCUUGCAAGACUUUAGUGCUCGAGAUGGCCUCCAAAUCAGUUUAGGAGUUGAUUUUGGACAGCAGCGGGCUGGGUAAGGAGAUAAAUGAAACAGUUGAAGGGGUAUUCUGCUGAUUAAGUGGCGUUGAGCCUCCAUAAAAUGCUGAAACCUAACUGAAGAAACAACAAGAGAAAGAGAGCUCGAGAGGCAAGGGAAAAGAGAUGGAGAAGGGAAAGGAGAAUUCAGAUUCCGCAGCAAAGAAAAGAGGAUUUGAGGCAAUGAAGUGCGAAGUGGGAGCAACUGAAGCUCCAAGUGGUUCUAGCUAGCCUGUCGAUGUGCCAGAUGAUUCCAGUAAGGUGCCUCUUAAUUAGCCAAGUGCAACAAUCCCAGAGUUUUGCAGAUGUAGAGUGAGUUAGUUGCAUGCAACUGAGCUAGCUUGGUAGUCCAAAGAUUAUCAACUUCUGUAUUUUGUUUUACAGUAAGUGACAACAUAGUUUACCCUGCCGGCGGACUCAAGAGAGAGUAGGCGAAACCUCAAGCCUUGUGCUCUUGCCAUAGCCAAGCUGAUAAAGCGAGCUUUUUAACUCAAUAAGUAUUAUAUUAAUUAUGUAUGCUGCUAUUUGUUCUGACCAGCUUGUAAUUCUCUUCUAAGGGUGGUCACUUUACCCUACCCAAUAUUAGCUUAAAUUAGAGUCCUAUAAUUACAAAGUUGUACAAGGAAGGGAGGGUUGGGUGUAAGAAAGAGAAACUGAUUAAUUUGAUCU